rnacentral:rRNA from 1 species
GACGAACGCUGGCGGCGUGCUUAAUACAUGCAAGUCGAACGGAAAGGCCCUGCUUUUGUGGGGUGCUCGAGUGGCGAACGGGUGAGUAACACGCGAGUAACCUGCCCUUGACUUUGGGAUAACUUCAGGAAACUGGGGCUAAUACCGGAUAGGAGCUCCUGCUCCAUGGUGGGGGUUGGAAAGUUUCGGCGGUUGGGGAUGGACUCGCGGCUUAUCCGCUUGUUGGUGGGGUAGUGGCUUACCAGGGCUUUGACGGGUAGCCGGCCUGAGAGGUGGGCCGGCGACAUGGGGACUGAGGGACGGCGCAGACGGCUACGGGAGGCAGCAGUGGGGAGUAUUGCAGAGUGGGCGGAAGCCUGAGACAGCAGCGCCGCGUGCGGGAUGACGGCCUUCGGGUUGUAAACAGCUUUCGCCGGUGACGAAGCGUGAGUGACGGUAAUGGGUAAAGAAGCACCGGCUAACUACGUG